rnacentral:rRNA from 1 species
GACGAACGCUGGCGGCGUGCUCAACACAUGCAAGUGGAACGAUGAAGCUGGAGCUUGCUCCGGUGGAUUAGUGGCGAACGGGUGAGUAACACGUGAGCAAUCUGCCCUUGACUCUGGGAUAACUGCGGGAAACUGUAGCUAAUACCGGAUACGAGGCUCGAAGGCAUCUUCGGGUCUGGAAAGAAUUUCGGUCAAGGAUGAGCUCGCGGCCUAUCAGCUUGUUGGUGAGGUAAUGGCUCACCAAGGCGACGACGGGUAGCCGGCCUGAGAGGGUGACCGGCCACACUGGGACUGAGACACGGCCCAGACUCCUACGGGAGGCAGCAGUGGGGAAUAUUGCACAAUGGGCGAAAGCCUGAUGCAGCAACGCCGCGUGAGGGAUGAAGGCCUUCGGGUUGUAAACCUCUUUUAGCAGGGAAGAAGCGAGAGUGACGGUACCUGCAGAAAAAGCACCGGCUAACUACGUGCCAGCCGCCGCGGUAA